ACUCCUACGGGAGGCAGCAGUGGGGAAUAUUGCACAAUGGGCGCAAGCCUGAUGCAGCCAUGCCGCGUGUAUGAAGAAGGCCUUCGGGUUGUAAAGUACUUUCAGCAGUGAGGAAGGUGGGUAUGUUAAUAGCAUAUUCAUUUGACGUUAGCUGCAGAAGAAGCACCGGCUAACUCCGUGCCAGCAGCCGCGGUAAUACGGAGGGUGCGAGCGUUAAUCGGAAUUACUGGGCGUAAAGCGCAUGCAGGUGGUUUGUUAAGUCAGAUGUGAAAGCCCGGGGCUCAACCUCGGAAUUGCAUUUGAAACUGGCAAACUAGAGUACUGUAGAGGGGGGUAGAAUUUCAGGUGUAGCGGUGAAAUGCGUAGAGAUCUGAAGGAAUACCGGUGGCGAAGGCGGCCCCCUGGACAGAUACUGACACUCAGAUGCGAAAGCUGGGGAGCAAACAGGAUUAGAUACCCUGGUAGGCUACU
rnacentral:rRNA from 1 species